rnacentral:rRNA from 1 species
UACGUAGGGUCCGAGCGUUGUCCGGAAUUAUUGGGCGUAAAGAGCUCGUAGGUGGUUUGUCGCGUUGUCCGUGAAAACUCACAGCUCAACUGUGGGCGUGCGGGCGAUACGGGCAGACUGGAGUACUGCAGGGGAGACUGGAAUUCCUGGUGUAGCGGUGGAAUGCGCAGAUAUCAGGAGGAACACCGGUGGCGAAGGCGGGUCUCUGGGCAGUAACUGACGCUGAGGAGCGAAAGCGUGGGGAGCGAACAGG